rnacentral:rRNA from 5 species
ACAGGGAUUGCCCUAGUAACGGCGAGUGAAGCGGCAACAGCUCAAAUUUGAAAUCUGGCUCUUUUAGAGUCCGAGUUGUAAUUUGCAGAGGGCGCUUUGGCUUUGGCAGCGGUCCAAGUUCCUUGGAACAGGACGUCACAGAGGGUGAGAAUCCCGUACGUGGUCGCUGGCUAUUGCCGUGUAAAGCCCCUUCGACGAGUCGAGUUGUUUGGGAAUGCAGCUCUAAAUGGGAGGUACAUUUCUUCUAAAGCUAAAUAUUGGCCAGAGACCGAUAGCGCACAAGUAGAGUGAUCGAAAGAUGAAAAGCACUUUGGAAAGAGAGUCAAACAGCACGUGAAAUUGUUGAAAGGGAAGCGCUUGCAGCCAGACUUGCUUGCAGUUGCUCAUCCGGGCUUUUGCCCGGUGCACUCUUCUGUAGGCAGGCCAGCAUCAGUUUGGGCGGUAGGAUAAAGGUCUCUGUCACGUACCUCUCUUCGGGGAGGCCUUAUAGGGGAGGCGACAUACUACCAGCCUGGACUGAGGUCCGCGCAUCUGCUAGGAUGCUGGCGUAAUGGCUGUAAGCGGCCCGUCUUGAAACACGGACCAAGGAGUCUAACAUCUAUGCGAGUGUUUGGGUGUCAAGCCCGAGCGCGUAAUGAAAGUGAACGGAGGUAGGACCCCGCAAGGGUGCACUAUCGACCGAUCCUGAUGUCUUCGGAAGGAUUUGAGUAAGAGCAUGGCUGUUGGGACCCGAAAGAUGGUGAACUAUGCUUGAAUAGGGUGAAGCCAGAGGAAACUCUGGUGGAGGCUCGCAGCGGUUCUGACGUGCAAAUCGAUCGUCAAAUUUGGGCAUAGGGGCGAAAGACUAAU